UCAGGGUCAAGGUAGUCUCGGGGCUCAGGGCUGGCUGGCUCUGGGCUGCGGGAGUGCGGACUGAGCGCCGAGGGUUGGCGCCGGUCGCUCAGCAGGGAGAGGAGAGCGGCGGGGCGAGGGGAGGGGAGGCGAUCCCAAGGGGCGAGGCGGCGGGGCGGGGCGGGCGCGGCGAGGCGAUCCCAAGGAGUGCGGCGGCGGCUGGGGCGGGUGGCGGGUCGGGGCAGCGGGGAGGGGCGGGUGGGGCUGCGGUGGGUCUUAAUGUGUGUAUGUGUGUAUGUAGGCUCGGCUGCGUGCUGGAAGCCAGCGCCGGCCACCAAGCGGCGGCUGGCGGCGGAGUGCAGCGGGCGAGGGCAGGGCGGGGCGAGGCCGCAGCGCGGGGAGGGCGGAGCUGGGGCGGGCGCCUGGGACCCGCGACAAAGGGGCUCCAUGUAAGGAGGACAAUAGGCACAGCAAACUACGUCAAAUUACCGCUCAUUAUACGUCUGUGGACCAGGCGGAGUCGGGGGGGCCGGAGGAUACUACCCAAGAUGGCGUGGUGUUUUAUACCCUGUUGGUUACGGGUACGUCACCGGUGGUCCAGGCGGUGUUGUCGGAGGAGUCAAGUACGUUGGUCGCGGUGUUGUCAUAGCCGGAUAACCAGUCCGGUACGGUCCUCAAUUGUACCCGUACGGUCCCGUCUACGUUGUAAAAGUCGUUGGACCCGGUGUAUACGGAGUGAGACCAGUACAAGGCGGACGUAGCGUUCGACAAGGAUACGGCAUGGUCCGUCGAUCUGGAUACAGUAGUCGAGGAUACGUCGGUGUCGUCGUUCGACAUAAGGGACCACCUGAAUACGGGUGGUACCCGCGGGGAUACGGCGGAGGAAGAAUAUGGAUAGUUGGUUGUAGCCAAGGAGGACCUAGAGUUGGGACCCCGUGUCGGGGCCCAGUCCCGCGUGGAGAACACAGCGGCUACCACGUCGGACCCGUAGUCUCAGAGAGUCGAAGUCACGGGGGUCACUCGAGUUGACUUGGAUCGAGACGCCUAACCGUUCUCGUGUCAAGUCCCCUACCUUUCUUCAUGAUAAUGUUAUUCUCCUGUUUCGUUAGUUCAACCCUCUUUGGACGACUCAACUACUGGGGAAACCUCGCCCGACUGCGAAGUUGACUUACCUUUCUCAAAUGAUGUCGUCUUCCCGCCUUCAUGAUAAUGUUGUUUCACUGUUUCGUUAGGUUUACCAGAUAAGGACUGCUCGAUUCCUAACGUGCACUUAAUCGUCUUUUCUGUAGUUUAGUCGUCGGACGGGCCCUCUAACUUAGGUGAUGACAACGGGGACAACCUAGGUGAAGACAAAGACACCUCUGAAGGAAUGGACGGUGUGUCAGAAGUAGAAAUCAUCCUUGUUAACGAGGUUCGAGGGUACUACGCUAUCGUUUGAACGGAGGAGGACCACGACCGGGCAGCAUGUUACCCCUAUAUAGAAGAAGAUCAAGGUACGUUUUGCCACCUUGUUCACGACACCAACGGGGACAAUGUUGCUCGUGACCUCUAGGUAGUCAACGUUCACUACGUCCCUGUUUGUCUUCGUGAAUACCUUCAAGUAGACAUGGAUCAUGAUGACUGUGUUUUCAACCUCGUAGACGACUUCUAAACCUCCUCCGGUUUUUCUGUUACGGUUGACGUCCCUUCUAGUUACAAUGAGGCGACCUCCUAUUUUGUUCACUUCUUCUUGGACAACAAAUACGAUGAUUCAACCUUCGUUUCUUACGUAAGUUCAGGGACGAACUUAGCCGUUUACAAGUCAGUCUAACCAGUACCCUAGUCCGGUACUCUCAAUAAUAUUCACUGUUUUCUAUACCACGAGACUUUUGAGAACCUCUCUCUUUCGUUCGAAAGUUACUCAUGAAUUUGGUCGCCUUUUUCUAACUUCAACUCCUCUCCGCACAGUUCGUUUCCUUUCGUGCACUACUAAAAAAGUGUUACGACCUUCUUACAUUCCUGGAAUGUAGUAGUGACUCUACCUCGUUUCGUUAAUGAUACAAACCCGUACUACUUUCCAAGUUACGACAACUUGCGGGGUUCCUCGCACUUCUAAAUAAACUCUUGAUAGAGCACCUCGACGUCUUCUUCCUUUUUCGUUUCCGACGACUUCUCGUGUUUUCUGCGUAUCGUCUUAUAUCUCUUAAAGAACUCAGUACACUAAAGUAGUUCCGUUUGUGGGUCACCGCUUUUCAAGUUCUAGCCGAUCUCCUACUACUUGCGAUACGGGCUGAACUCUUCUAACUGGCGAACCUACAAAAAGUUCUGAUAUAUUCCGUAGAACUUUUUCUUCUCCUUCUUGUCUUCUCUUAAGCCUUCCUCGUUAAUUCCUCUGUUCUUGCCUUUUUGGCGCUACUCAAAGCCUUCUACUACCUUCUUGUACAACGACUACCGUGUGAAUUGCGUUUUUGAAUGACCGCACUGAUGACAAGUGUCUAUUUUCUAAGUGCACGAAUGGACCGUCAACGAAGUUUGAACAGACCGAGCUACGGUUUUCUUGAGAAACUACUACAGUACCUCCUCGAACUAUUCGUCAUAGUUCUACUGUCCCGAAAUUAAUUUCUACUUCACUUUAGACCUUUCUAAGGAUACAACCGGAGUACCUGUAAUCUCCUGAAGGUUCGACGACAAUGACUCCUGCUUUUUAUAUUUCCUCACAGCUUGUAUUUAUAGUUCGAAUAAAUACUCCUGGUUUAACUUUCCGAGUUCCUUUUCCUAGAUUUCCUCCGGUUCUUCGCAGUCGCUGACCCACUAUUAAAAGACCUAGAUGACAUAAGUUAGUUCCUUUAAUGACGACGAAGUUGUACCCUACUAAGAUUUAGUGAUAAACUACUAUGGGUCCUUAUGUCCCUAGACCCACCGCUCUGUAUACGAUUUCUCGAAAAACUUCUCAUAUAACGGGCGGAGUUUCUUUCCGAAUUUCUCUUUCUCGCGUACUCCCUUCUUCUCUUCCGCUUCUUUCUCUUUCUGGCACUUCUCUCUCUUUUCUUCUUUCUCUUCCUCUUCCUUUUCUUCCUCUUUCUAGCGUUUCUUUUUCUUUCUCUGGCUCUCUUCCUUUCUCUUUUCCUUUUUCCUUUUCUGGCCAGUUCCUCUCUACUUUACCUAUAACUACUACUACACCUUUAAGUACGGAGCUUUCUAUUCUUUGCUCUCUUCCUAUUUCUUUUCUUCGUAUUUUCCGCGGUGGUACUGUGGUGUCUAAGACUUUCCCUACUCUUCCUACUUAGCUCCUUUAGAGCUUCCGUAUCGUCACUAGCGUUCUUUAGAUCCUUCGUGUGGGUACGAAGUCUGAGUCUAUCACUUUUGGCCGUAUCUUCUGUGUUUUUCCUAGCUCUAUCAAGGGCGUUUUUACCACCCGUGCUCCUCGAACUUCUGCCACUUGAACCUCUUCUACCCCUCUAGGUAAUCCGAAACGAAAAUGGAGGUUCUAAACAGUCAUGAAUGUUGACAGGGAACAGUACAAGAGUUAACGACGAUAAAACAGAAUAAGACGAAUUAUUGACUGAUCACAAUAUUAAUGGCUUUUAAUUACGGAUGUAAAAACAGUAAAAGACCUUAGAUGAGUAAUAGGACGGAAAGACGUCAUCGUAUUUUGACCAACCGGAUAUGAAAACUGGAACGAGUCCCCUCGAAACAGCAGAUUGAAAACACCACAUCGCCACGUAAAUCGAGCCUGCUAAAUCAAUGAUCAAAAUACGAAUAUAGUGAUUUGUUCAAAGAAUGACUGUUAAAACCCACUCUGUAGUCUCAAACCCAUCACCACAGGACUAACAUCCGUUAUACCAAAAACUGGUUCGGUCACUACCUGUCAAGGUACGCGGACAACGGUAACUAAGUCGUACCUGUACCUACGGACAUCGACGUGAUUGUUGUGGACAAACGUUCUCCCCGUCGGCGACGUCGUCAAGUAGUAGAAAGUGUCGUUACUCAUUAAACUGUCAAGACAGUACUCCCCUAAAUUCAAACUACUCUAACAUUACUACACAUGUACGCAUACGUACUUACGUAUGAGUAUCAGUCGACUAGAACAGUGUCCUACGGACCAAAAUGACCGUUCUACAAGGCUCAUCUCUACGUUCGCCGCGGCGACGUUGACGGGACAAGACGACCGGUUUAGUCGACAUCAUCAAAAAAAGCACAGUAAUCAUAUUAAACAUGACACUAUCGACGAAUUGACCGACAACGACCGCGUGGAGAACGUAGGAUCAAAACUCACAUCGAUAGUAGUUGAACUAAAGAUGCGACUUCAUAUAUGUACAAACACACACACAAUAAAUAGGAACAUUGGGUCGGCAAGACUUACAACACACAAUUACGAACAUUGGGUCGACUUCUCCCAAUCGACAAUCGGUACCACACGUCGAAUAUAUAAUAAGUUACCAUUCCAAAUAUGUAAAACAAAUACGUCCCUUCGCCUACAAACCAAAGGCCAAUAAACAACCACUUAGUACAAGACGUCAUAUAGAUAAAAGCCGGACAUUCCAAAUAUACUAUACAAAUACUUUGAAACGCAUUCAAGUCAACACACAAUAACAAAUUUAGCGUAUGACGAACUCGAUAUGUAAAAAGACAGUCAAACAUGACGACUUGUGUCGGAUCACCGACGGAACGCCAAUGUAGAUCGUAUCUGAACCUGAACCAACCAACAGUGUACAAAUAUGAAAUCUUCCCCAAUACAUUUUAAGUGACGGCUUGUACUCAUUAUCGACAACAUCCAC
rnacentral:rRNA from 1 species